rnacentral:rRNA from 1 species
UACGUAGGCGGAAAAUUAAGUCAGUGGUGAAAUCCUGCAGCUUAACUGUAGAAUUGCCAUUGAUACUGAUCUUCUUGAAUUUAGUUGAGGUGGGCGGAAUGUGUAAUGUAGCGGUGAAAUGCUUAGAUAUUACACAGAACACCGAUUGCGAAGGCAGCUCACUAAACUAACAUUGACGCUAAGGUACGAAAGCGUGGGGAGCGAACAGGAUUAGAUACCCUGGUAGUCC